GGGCUCUUCAGCAGCACAUAUACUAAAACUGGAAGGAUACAGAGAAAAUUAGCAUGGCUCCUGUGCAGGGAUGACCAGAUAGUGGGGGUCUUUUAAGCUCUU